UUCUUGUUAGAAGCAGCAGGUCUUGUUAUUCCUAUAACUCUCUUUGCUCUAUUUUGCAGCUCAAGUAGCACAUGGGCAGUCAUGCCUUAGUAACAGUCAGGAGAACCAACUCAAGACAGACACAUUUCCAUCAUAUCUGUGUAUUACUGCAGAAGCAUCCCACUGGGAAAAGGCUGCAUAAGUUCUGGCCACCGUGUAAAUCCCACGCUGACGACUCACUUGGAAAGAAGAAAAGACACAAAAUGUUGUGCUGGCUCUCUAAGUGAAGGAAAGUUGAUGCUUGGAAGAACCUCAGCUAAAACUCCCAAAGAGGAGACCUUCCCAAUUUUAACAGGAAAGUGCAUAGGAAUGGAGAUCAAUUUAAGCUGUGCUGUGCAAAGAGGGGAGAAAUCUGGUGAUGGUCCUACAAAUGUCACUGACAAGGUGAGUAAAUUCUUUAUUUUUGCAUUUUCUUGCUAUUCCUUGUACUUAGGCUUGACAUAGUUAGGAUUU
rnacentral:lncRNA from 1 species